rnacentral:lncRNA from 1 species
AUAUUUAAAAGAAUAAUUCAGAAAAAAUUAUCUAAUCUUACUAGAGAAGUAGACUUCCAGGUACAAGAAAGUCAGAAAAUACCUUUAAGAUACAAAAUGCCACUGCACUCCAGCCUGGGCGACAGAGCAAGACUCUGUAUCAAACAGAAACAAAAACAAAACAAAGAUAUGCUUGCAAAAAUAUGAAAUGGCAGAUGCACAUGGUUAUUUGCACCAUUAUUUUCAAAAGUCAAACUGGAGCACCAUCUGAAUAUUCAUCAAAUUCAGGACUGAUGAGGCAGAGCAACACAAUGGAUUAUUAUGCAGAUAUACAAGAGAAUGCGGAAGCUCUGUAAAGUAGGGUGUGAACUCCAGGACACAGGGUGAAGUGAAGAAAGCAAGGUGCAGAAAUUGCACACAGUAUGCCAUCUUUUGUACUGGGGAAAGGAAUACAAAGCAGCGGGGAAAGGAAUGUGUAUGCAUGUAUAUGUAAAUACAGUCAUUAAAACUGAAAACAAAGUGGCACAAAUAAACCUAAUUCCCUAUCGAGUUGGCAUUGCUGCCUUAACCACACAGAGGAAAGUAACUGACUUCAGAGCACAGUAUCUUCACUGUAUUUCUUCAGUAUGAUAUAAUCCAAAGACACAAAUACUGCAUAGACAUCUCAAUGUCACUUGAAGUGAAAUAACAUAAAAAUGGGAACAGACUCCUGCUGCUGCUCCAGAAAGAUGAACAUGAGAAAGGGACCAUUAUCUCUAAUGUUUUCUCAUGUAGAAAAUGCAGGGAAUAGCUUAAAUCGAAGUUCAACUUUGGGAGCUGAUAAUUGAGUGAAAGUCUUCUUCCUUGAUUGCCCUGGGAAGAAAUCUUCAUUUUUGGUUUGCAAGACCAUGAAAAUGAGACAAUAAAUACAACAAAUGAAAUACUUUACACUCAAAAACUAUUUUUAAAAAAACAGACAAAAUAUAGAAAAUAAGUAUAAGUAACAUAUUCAAAGAGACAUUAAACGACAUUUUAUUAAUUUUAAAAGCUAUAGAUUAUAGAAAUAAAAAUUUUCCGUAUGAAAUUUCCCUCCUAAGGGUCGGCCCAAGUCCAGGACCUGUCUGGGAAUUGUGGACAUAUCGGUAGGACACGGGCAAGGAUUGCCAUCUCGCUCAGCACCUGUUUCCUUGAACGAUGAGAAUAACCCAUCUCUCCUGUUUUAAGUGUGAUUUGUCAUAUACAUCAAUAGGCAUCUUGGCUCAACAUACGAAAGCCCCUUUCCACAGAGACAGCUGCCUCCAGCCUGAAGAAGUUGCCACAGGAGGUAGAAGGAGGUCCCUUGCCCAUGCCUGGGAGACCCAGCCAGAGUGGACAGGGAGGCGGCCCGGGCCGGGGUGCCAGACUCAGCAAAUAAACACAGCAUGCCCAGUUGACGGCGCAUGUGGUACUGUAUUGAAUCUGGCAACGCUCCACCUUGGUUUUCCUACCCGGGUUUGUGGAAGGGGCUCCCCCUGCCCCGCAGGUGCCGCCCCGAGGAGGUGGAGGAGGAGGAGCCGGGCACUGACUGGGGACCCAGGUGAGUCUAGCAAAUGACAAGGCCCAACGGUCAAAACCGCCUCAGUAAUGCGCUCGUCCAAAGCACGCACUUAACGCUCAAUCCUGGUGUCGCGUCCCGUUGCCAGGCAACGAAAGCAAGCGCUGCAAAGACGAAGGGGAGCGCCCAAGGAUGAGGAACGUUCCAAGACACUGAGUGAUUUGCUGAAAAUCACACAUCUAGAUGCAAAGCCAGAAUGCGAGCAGUGACCACCACACUUGACAAAUCCGUUGUUGCACACAUUUGUACUCUUCAAUCAACAAAACCUGAUGCAAAAAACAGAAAAGGGGGAGAUGUACAUGCAUUUUCCCUCACUGCAAAAAAAACACAACUUGUUUAACUACAGGUGUGUUCCUGGUGGUCUUUGAAUGAAGACAUUGACAGAAAGUAACAUAGCAUGCUGGUUAAAGACUGUUUUUAUUCGAAUCCUGGCUUUGCCAAUCAACAGCUGCAUAAAUUAAACUCUCGACCUCAGCUCCCUUAUUUGUAAAACAAGAAUAACAAAAAGACAUUUUUAUAAGGUUGGGUUGAAGGUUAAAUGAAAUAACAGAAGAUUAUCUCUUCACUAAUUUUAGCUGUAGAAAACAGAAGCCAAUCGAAAGAGCUCCCAGUCCAAAGCUGGAACAACUUGAACAACAAAAUAAAUAAUGUAGCAUUGGAUUACAAACCAACCAUAAAACAAAUAUCCAUGAGUCUAUACUGAUGUCAAUAAAUGAAUAAAUGUGGGAAAAUA